AGAGGACUAGCUCAGUUGGUUAGAGCAUGGUGCUAAUAACGCCAAGGUCACAGGUUCGAUCCCUGCUCACUG
rnacentral:tRNA from 1 species